rnacentral:rRNA from 1 species
GACGAACGCUGGCGGCGCGCUUAACACAUGCAAGUCGAGCGAAGCGGCGGACUGGUGAGUACCACGUGAGUAACCUGCCUUAGACCUUGGGAUAGCCUCGGGAAACCGAGAUUAAUACCAAAUGGUCGAAGAUUGACUCGUGUCCCAUUAGCUAGUUGCUGAGGUAACGGCCCACCAAGGCUACGCUGGGUAGCCGGCCGGAGAGGGGGAACGGACACAUUGGAACUGAGCAACGGUCCAAACUCUACGGGAGGCAGCAGUGGGGAAUAGUGCACAAUGGAGGGAACUCUGAUGCAGCGACGCCGCGUGAACGAAGAAGGCUUUCGAGUCGUAAAGUUCUUUUAUAUGGGAAGCGGUACCAUAAGAAAAAGCCCCGGCUAACUACGUGCCAGCAGCCGCGGUAAUAC